rnacentral:rRNA from 1 species
GACGAACGCUGGCGGCGUGCCUAAUACAUGCAAGUCGAACGCUUCUUUCCUCCCGAGUGCUUGCCCUCCAUUGGAAAGAGGAGUGGCGGACGGGUGAGUAACACGUGGGUAACCUACCCAUCAGAGGGGGAUAACACUUGGAAACAGGUGCUAAUACCGCAUAACAGUUUAUGCCGCAUGGCAUAAGAGUGAAAGGCGCUUUCGGGUGUCGCUGAUGGAUGGACCCGCGGUGCAUUAGCUAGUUGGUGAGGUAACGGCUCACCAAGGCCACGAUGCAUAGCCGACCUGAGAGGGUGAUCGGCCACACUGGGACUGAGACACGGCCCAGACUCCUACGGGAGGCAGCAGUAGGGAAUCUUCGGCAAUGGACGAAAGUCUGACCGAGCAACGCCGCGUGAGUGAAGAAGGUUUUCGGAUCGUAAAACUCUGUUGUUAGAGAAGAACAAGGACGUUAGUAACUGAACGUCCCCUGACGGUAUCUAACCAGAAAGCCACGGCUAACUACGU